GAAAAUCUUUUGCCUUUUACUGAAUAUUUCCUUGCAAAGGAGCAUACAUUGAGUAUUAUAUACAAUUUUUGGAGUCCCCUUGAGAAAGCGG
rnacentral:snRNA from 1 species